UUCUAGAGCUAAUACAUGCUAAAAAUCCCGACUUUGGAAGGGAUGUAUUUAUUAGAUUAAAAACCAAUGCCCUCUGGGCUCCUUGGUGAUUCAUGAUAACUUUUCGAAUCGCACGGCCUUGCGCCGGCGAUGGUUCAUUCAAAUUUCUUCCCUAUCAACUUUCGAUGUUUGGGUAUUGGCCAAACAUGGUCGCAACGGGUAACGGAGGGUUAGGGCUCGACCCCGGAGAAGGAGCCUGAGAAACGGCUACUACAUCCAAGGAAGGCAGCAGGCGCGCAAAUUACCCAAUCCCGAUUCGGGGAGGUAGUGACAAUAAAUACUGAUACAGGGCUCUUUUGGGUCUUGUAAUUGGAAUGAGUACAAUUUAAAUCCCUUAACGAGGAACAAUUGGAGGGCAAGUCUGGUGCCAGCAGCCGCGGUAAUUCCAGCUCCAAUAGCGUAUAUUAAAGUUGUUGUGGUUAAAAAGCUCGUAGUUGAACCUUGGGCCUGGCUGGCCGGUCCGCCUCACCGCGUGUACUGGUCCGGCCGGGCCUUUCCCUCUGUGGAACCUCAUGCCCUUCACUGGGUGUGGCGGGGAAACAGGACUUUUACUUUGAAAAAAUUAGAGUGCUCCAGGCAGGCCUAUGCUCGAAUACAUUAGCAUGGAAUAAUGAAAUAGGACGUGUGGUUCUAUUUUGUUGGUUUCUAGGACCGCCGUAAUGAUUAAUAGGGACAGUCGGGGGCAUCAGUAUUCAAUUGUCAGAGGUGAAAUUCUUGGAUUUAUUGAAGACUAACUACUGCGAAAGCAUUUGCCAAGGAUGUUUUCAUUAAUCAGGAACGAAAGUUAGGGGAUCGAAGACGAUCAGAUACCGUCGUAGUCUUAACCAUAAACUAUGCCGACUAGGGAUCGGACGAUGU
rnacentral:rRNA from 1 species